UGACCUUCAUCUUGCUGGUGACAGCACUGGU
rnacentral:piRNA from 2 species